UGCCCACUCUACUCGAAACCCUUAUUGAACAUCACUUCAGUAAUUUCCUCGCUGUUCUUCUCGUCCUUUGCUGCUCAAGCUCGAUGCCUCCCCCCAAACUAGAUCUGCGACCCAAACCAGAUCUACUGCACUAAGCUCGCCACCGGUCGUUUUCCUUUAGCUCGAUGUUGCUGCUGCUCGUCGAAGACUUGCCAUCGUGUCGCCACCGUGUUCUGCUGUAGCUGGACUCUGAUGCCAUUUCUGGUUAGAAGGGAAAAGAUUAGAGAGAGAAUGAAAUACUUGCAAGGCUUAGUACCAGAUUGUAACAAAAUCACAGGAAAAGCAGGCAUGCUCAAUGAAAUCAUCAAUUAUGUUCAAUCUCUUCAAUGACAAGUAGAGGAAUUUCGCCAAAAGACAAUUGACAUGGUUUCAAAAUGAACAUAUAUACCACUAGCUUAAUGCUUCUAAACCACUGGCGUAAUUGAAGCUAGCAAUCUAAAGAUGGAGAUGUGAAAAAGCUGAUGUUAUGCUCCAGCUUGUUGGAUGAGAUAAGUGAAUCUGAAUUUAGUCCUAGCCUUCACAAAAAGGAUGUCUUUUGCAUCUUUGAGAAAAAAAUACAGGCUCAAAGUAACAUGCCUAAUGUUAUACAUUUUUUUGAAAAAAUUUAUCUCAAUGGGACGUGAACAGAGAGGUAUGGACUUUGAAUGAUGUGUUUUAUUCAUAAUUAAUAUGAUAUUUAUGGUUUAACUAAAUUAUUUUUCUUUAUAUUUUGCUGAUAGAAUGUGAACGAGUACUUUGCAACUAAGUAAGAAUAGUGUUAGAUGUAUUUAUUUGUACCAUGUAAGCAUGAGAGUAUUGCAAAUGUUUUUAAUUUCUUAGGUUGCAAUCUACAUUAUAAUAUUAUGUAUAUUAUAGUAUUGGAGAUUAGUUAGUUGAACUAGUGAAAUUGCUUGUAUAUUUAUAUUAAUUAUAUAAAUAAUUUUUUUUAUAUUAGUCAUGAUGUCCAAUGCAUGAAGAGAAUAAAAAAUGAAUUCAAUAUUUUUUUUUAAAAUAAACCUAUGGGAACAUUCCCUAGAAGAAAAGCUCUGAUAGGGAUCCGAUCCCAUACGACAGCAUUGUUGAAAAGAAAAGCUCCAAUAGGGAUUUAUAUGAGAGCAUUUAUGGGCAUAAAAGCUCCCAUAUGGUCAGCCUAUGGGAGUUUUUAUAAAAUAGAAAAGCUCCCGCAGGGUACCUAUAGGAGCUUUUCCUACUUGGAAUGCUCCCAUAAGUCUUCCCUACAGAAGCAUUUGAAAAACGCUCUCGUAUAUACAGGAGCUCCUGCUUUUGGAGCGUUUACAAAAUGCUCCAAAAGUAUAAAACGAAACGCUCCAAAAAGCUUUUUUUGUUGUAGUGGUUCAACCUAUUGGAAACCUUGGAAGGGUGUUGCAACUGUACAAGUUGAAGGAUUAGAAUGGCCUUGAAGGCAUUCAACUUUUUUUUAAUGAUUUUAAAAAUAGUAGUUAUAGCCAUUGACCAAAGAGUUUGAUAGUCCUCCUAAGAAAUGGAUAAUUUCCCACAGUUUCAAAUUUAUUCGAACCAUACAACAAUCAUAGCAAUAUUAAUAUAGUUCUCCAUCUAGAAACUAUUCCAGCUAGGUUAGCUACUUCAAACAUAAAAAAGUAUUUAAAAUUAAAGGCAAACAGUUUUUUCCCCAACGAUUACAAACUUGUCCAUCUAUUAUCAACAUGAUUCUUCAAAAUUGCUUGCCUCACUGACAUGAAGGCAGAGUCUAGAUGUAGAGUGAAUAUCUCAUAGCUAGCUGCACAUCAGAAAUGAAAAUGAAGGGGUGAGUCAAGGAGAUUAUAUUAGUGAAUAUGCAUCAAUAGAGUAAUAUCACACACACACACACGUUUCUUACAUAUUAUUUGACCCUAGUAUGACCCUGAAAUUGAACUUAUUUAAACUAUCUUUCACACACCCACAAAAUUUAAUAAUUUAUCCAAAUGAAUCAUCAGGAAAAGUUCAAUUGGUGCAGAGUUUGGUUCUUGUAUCCAAGAUUUGCAAAAAUAAUUAUUAUGUUAAUUAAAAAUUGCACAUAUCCAUUAAGGGAAAUGCUUCAUUAUUAUAUUUUUUUUUCUAAUUAUAAAAAUACCUGUGAUAAAUUGGCGAUGUCAUUUCUCAUUUAUGCUAUCAUUGUAGACUACAAUCUCCUUUCCUUUAGCUUUUCUAUCAUCUUCUGAGCCUCCUGAGAUUUCGUCCCCAUUGAUGAGAGUCAUAUUUUGUUGUUGUUGGCAUUCUGACAUCCAAACGCAAAUUAAGAUAAAUUUGUUUUAACUUUCAUUUGUUCAACUUACAUUAAUAUAGUGAAAUAUUUAUAGUUCCAUGAAAUCUAUAGGUUUAUUACCUGUUGGAAUUGUUUGUUCCAGAUCAAUCGAGUUCAUAUUCAAACCGCAGAAUCAAUUGCAACCAAUUAUAAACUUGAAUGUAAUCUCAUAUCAAUUCAGAGGAAUAGAAUAGAAUGUGAAAGCAUACCUGAACAGAUAAAUCCAUAGUCACAAGAUUCCACAUGUUGAUGGAUUGGCGUACUGUGAUCUUCCAAAUUAUAAACAUUGCAAACUUCCUUAUGGUUCUCUCGAAAGAGUCAAAGAAUUAGUUUCUCGUUAUGCUCAAUCUGAGGUUCACAACCUCUAUUUAUAGACUUAAGUUUGUGUUAUCUAUGGUUUGGCCUUCAACAAAUUAUAAAUAUCACUUUGGUCUCUAUACAUUAAUUCCAUAAUAAUUACACCUCCUUAAGCCUUAAAACUUUUUCAAGUAGACCACUUUAUUUAGGCUAAAUUAUAAUAAUGGCCACAGUACAUUUUUUAUUUUUACAUGUGUGGCCUCAUAUGUUAAUUUUGUUCCAACAUUACCUUGUUGACUAGUUGGACCCUCGGACAAUGGUGUCUCCCAGCAAGGACGCAAUGAGAGCCACUUGUUUUCUUCAAAAUUGUGACCAGUUAUAGUUACAUUAUUCUUGUUAAGAAAUCUGCAUGUAUACUAUUGAGUAUACUUGUUGAUAUUACCAUAUCAUAUAUGCAUGUACCUUGGUGUCAUCACCACCAUGCUUUGUAAAUGCUAACACUGGUAAUGAAGUAUCAUUUGCAUUCAGAUUGUCAAACAUUGCUUCAAUAGAAAAAUUCAAGGAGAGACACGUAUAUCCAUUAUUUAUAUCAUUUGCUGUCACAUAACAGUAUAUUUGUUGUGCUUGGAUAGAGUUUUGAAGCACCUUUGAGUUAUUAAGUUGAAUAAUGAAUACAACUAUGUAGGCCAAUUAUAAUAGUACAUGUAACCUAUCUUGGUUGGCUAUGGCAUUAGCAUGUACCUAAAAGUCAUGAAGGAUUAGGACAAGUAAACUAGGUUUUUACUGCUAUUAUAUUCUCUUUUAUAGUCUUUUACAUAAGAUGCCAGUGGAACUUGAAAUGCAUGAAAUGGUAAAUAGAAAGUUGACAAUGGGAAAAAAGGAUAAAAUUAUAACAUAAGGAAAUGUGUGAUAUAUCAAAAGUUGUAUUCAUAUAGAAAUUGGUAAAAAUGUAGUUUAAUAUUGAAGCCAUUGGGUUGAAUUUGUACCUUGAUUAUUAAUUAUUUCACUAGCAGCAUUGGCAAAUUGGAUUUCAGGUGUGAUUGUGUUAUUCUCAUUAUGAUUGAUUGAGCAAUUUCUUCCUCUUUGUGCAUCUACAGGUAGCUGAACUCUGCAAGUAAAAUGUCAUAAAUUGAAACUCAAUUAACAAGAAAGUCCAAAGUGAAGUGUUAACAUAACACAAAAAAUAUAUGAGCUUACUGAUGCAACAUUGUCAUCCCCCAUCAACAUUCGUUUCUUGCCAAGUGCUAGUUCUUUCUGAUUCAUCCUUGUACCGAAUUGUCCUAUUGAAAGACAAUUAUUUUGUUCCAAAUUACAUCGAUUAGUGCUUUACAAUAGAGAAUGAGAAUAAAAUUUUCUUGACAGUUAA